GGGCCCGCACAAGCGGUGGAGCAUGUGGUUUAAUUCGAUGAUACGCGAGGAACCUUACCAGGGCUUAAAUGGGAAAUGACAGGGGCAGAGACGCCCCCUUCUUCGGACAUUUUUCUAAGGUGCUGCAUGGUUGUCGUCAGCUCGUGCCGUGAGGUGUCAGGUUAAGUCCUAUAACGAGCGCAACCCCUAUCUUCAGUUGCCAUCAUUUAGUUGGGGACUCUGGAGAGACUGCCCGUGUAAGCGAGGAGGAAGGCGGGGACGACGUCAAAUCAUCAUGGCCUUUAUGCCUAGGGCUACACACGUGCUACAAUGGCAGGUACAGAGGACAGCGAAGUCGCGAGGCUAAGCAAAUCUCAAAAAGCCUGUCCCAGUUCGGAUUGGAGUCUGGAACUCGACUCCAUG
rnacentral:rRNA from 1 species